UUAACACGACCUGUUUACUGAGGGGAUUAACACAACCUGUUUACUGAGGGAUUAACAACCUGUUUACUGAGGGAUUAACACAACCUGGUUACUGAGGGAUUAACACUGAGGGUAACAACUUCAGGAUUCAGAAAAAUAAAACACAAAUGCCGUUGUUCUGUUUGUCGUUUAAUCAUUGUUUAUCAAAGAUUCUAUAAAAAUGAAACAAUGAAAAAGUCAAGAAGCAUGUUUGUUAUCUUUCUAAGUGGAGUUAAAAGUAAACAAUAUACAUUUGAGGCUACAUGUAAUACGACAAUACGAAACAACUGGUACAAAAAUCUCCUUCAUGAUCCAAUAUCUACAGUGAGUUGAGUAUCUUGAUCUGAUGGUGUGUGUGUGUGUGUGGGGGGUGUGUGUGUGUGGGUAUCCUGAUGAAGACCAAUCAUCAGCAAAGUGGGUGGAGGGUUUAUGGUUUUGAUACACAUAAAGUGACACUUUACAUCCAGGUAACCAGAUAGGCGGGUAACCAGACAGGCAGGUAACCAGACAGGCAGGUAACCAGACAGGUAGGUAACCAGACAGGCAGGUAACCAGACAGGCAGGUCACCAGACAGGCAGGUCACCAGACAGGUAGGUCACCAGACAGGCAGGUAACCAGACAGGCAGGUAACCAGACAGGCAGGUAACCAGACAGGCAGGUAACCAGACAUCCAGGUAACCAGACAGGUAGGUCACCAGACAGGCAGGUAACCAGACAGGCAGGUAACCAGACAGGCAGGUAACCAGACAGGCAGGUAACCAGACAGGUAGGUCACCAGACAGGCAGGUCACCAGACAGGCAGGUCACCAGACAGGCAGGUCACCAGACAGGCAGGUAACCAGACAGGCAGGUAACCAGACAGGCAGGUCACCAGACAGGCAGGUAACCAGACAGGCAGGUAACCAGACAGGCAGGUAACCAGACAGGCAGGUAACCAGACAGGCAGGUAACCAGACAGGUAGGUAACCAGACAGGUAGGUAACCAGACAGGCAGGUAACCAGACAGGCAGGUAACCAGACAGGCAGGUAACCCGUUAUUGCUGUAUAUCUACAACAAAACAUAUCAUAGACAAAUAUACUGAAUCGUGUCAAAAUAAAAUUACCAAUCAUAAUUUGGUUUACUUUUCGCUCAGCCAAAUCUAUCUUCUAAACAGCACCCUGUACCCCAUUCCCAAACAGCACCCUGUUCCUCAGUCCCAAACAGCACCCUGUUCCCCAUUCCCAAACAGCACCCUGUUCCCCAUUCCCAAACAGCACCCUGUUCCUCAGUCCCAAACAGCACCCUGUUCCCCAUUCCCAAACAGCACCCUGUUCCCCAUUCCCAAACAGCACCCUGUUCCUCAGUCCCAAACAGCACCCUGUUCCCCAUUCCCAAACAGCACCCUGUUCCCCAUUCCCAAACAGCACCCUGUUCCCCAUUCCCAAACAGCACCCUGUUCCUCAGUCCCAAACUGCACCCUGUACCCCAGUCCCAAACAGCACCCUGUUCCCCAGUCCCAAACAGCACCCUGUUCCUCAGUCCCAAACUGCACCCUGUACCCCAGUCCCAAACAGCACCCUGUUCCCCAGUCCCAAACAGCACCCUGUUCCCCAUUCCCAAA
ensembl:lncRNA